rnacentral:rRNA from 1 species
UGUGUAGGCGGCUCUCUAAGUUUGGUGUGAAAUCUCCCGGCUCAACCGGGAGGGUGCGCCGAAAACUGGAGGGCUAGAGUGCGGGAUGGGAGAGUAGAAUUCCUGGUGUAGCGGUGAAAUGCGUAGAUAUCAGGAGGAAUACCGGUGGUGUAGACGGCUCUCUGGACCGCAACUGACGCUGAAACACGAAAGCGUGGGUAGCAAACAGGAUUAGAUACCCUGGUAGUCCACGCCCUAAACGAUGCAUAUUUGGUGUAGGUCAUUCAGUUGAUCUGUGCCGGAGCUAACGCGUUAAAUAUGCCGCCUGGGGAUACAGUCGCAAGGCUGAAA